rnacentral:misc_RNA from 1 species
UUCUACAUUCCAACUGUGGCUUUGAAGGUAUCCACAUUAUACUUUCUGCAGAGCCGUGCCUUUUUGAAUCUCCUCUUGUAUUCCAAGUUUCAGCGUCAAGUUUUUCUUUUAAUUUUUUGGGUCGAUUCAAUGCUUGCUUGAUCAUGGGAAUGGACUUGUAAUAAAACCCAGAAAAAGAAAUAAAGGAAAAGCUUGAGAGGAAAGAACCAUUCACUAUGGCUG